AUUGCUGUUGCAGGAGUUUUGGGUCAAGCUCCUAGUAAUCCUCCUACGUCUACGCCGGCGCCACCCACACCACCGGCUUCUACUCCUCCUCCGACGACUCAAGCACCGCCUACACCAACCGCCACUCCGCCACCGGUUUCUACUCCUCCUCCCACUUCAUCACCGCCCCCAGUGACAGCUUCUCCACCCCCAGUUUCAACUCCUCCACCCAGUUCUCCUCCUCCUGCAACUCCACCACCUGCUUCUCCUCCUCCUGCAACUCCACCUCCAGCUUCUCCACCUCCUGCCACUCCUCCACCAGCUUCUCCACCUCCCGCCACUCCACCACCUGCAACCCCACCGCCAGCAACUCCUCCUCCUGCUACCCCACCACCAGCUCCAUUGGCUUCUCCUCCAGCCACAGUCCCAGCUAUCUCUCCAGUACAAACACCAUUGACAUCGCCACCAGCUCCGCCGACCGAGGCCCCAGCAC
rnacentral:lncRNA from 1 species